UACAGGGGGUGCAAACGUUGCUCGGAAUUACUGGGCGUAAAGCGCACGUAGGCGGCUUUGCAAGUUAGAGGUGAAAGCCCGGAGCUCAACUCCGGAAUUGCCUUUAAAACUGCAUCGCUAGAAUUGUGGAGAGGUAAGUGGAAUUCCGAGUGUAGAGGUGAAAUUCGUAGAUAUUCGGAAGAACACCAGUGGCGAAGGCGACUUACUGGACACAUGUUGACGCUGAGGUGCGAAAGCGUGGGGAGCAAACAGG
rnacentral:rRNA from 1 species